AACGAACGCUGGCGGCAGGUCUUAGGCAUGCAAGUCGAACGGGUGUAGUAAUACACCAGUGGCGAACGAGUGAGUAACGCGUGGGAAUCUGCCCAUCUCUGGGGAAUAACGUUUGGAAACGAACGCUAAUACCGCAUACGCCCGCAAGGGGAAAGAUUUAUCGGAGAUGGAUGAGCCCGCGUUGGAUUAGUUAGUUGGUGGGGUAACGGCCUACCAAGGCGAUGAUCCAUAGCUGGUCUGAGAGGACGAUCUGCCACGCUGGAACUGAGAUACGGUCCAGACUCAUACGGGAGGCAGCAGCUAAGAAAAUUGGGCAAUGGAGGAAACUCUGACCCAGCCAUGCCGCGUGAAUGAAGAAGGCCUUCGGGUUGUAAAGUUCUUUUAGUCGUGACGAUGAUGACGGUAGCGACAGAAAAAGCACCGGCUAACUUCGUGCCAGCAGCCGCGGUAA
rnacentral:rRNA from 1 species